rnacentral:lncRNA from 1 species
CAGGAACAUAGCACCUCCGAUAGCACCUGCAACUGAAAGAUACAAGAGCGGGGGUUACAACAAAGCGGUAGGUUAAUGCCUGGUGAUUUUUCUUCCGUUGGAGCGAUGACCCGUGGAUCAGAGGGACUAGAUGUCAGCUUUGAGCCUCGGGUGGUUGGAACUGUAGACGUAUCCAUGCUCUGUAGACUUGAUGUGGUAUGCCCUUUACCAGAGGGUGGCAUUGUGGUCGGUGGGCUUGGAGGUGUGGUGGUUUGGAGGAUGGAGACCAGUCGUCCGUUUACCUUCGGUCCACACACCGCAUCGGUGGUGGCUGUACCGUAAGUCAGUACGUCCCUCCCCUGAGACAGACAACUGAGGAGACAGUGUCACAGUCCCAUUGUUAACACCAAUACCGACAGUCCAAAUAAUUGCUGUGUGUGUGCGCGUCUGUGUGUGUGCGUGCUUGCAUGUGUUUGUGUUAUGCAUGAAUGUGUGAGUCACUCACUCUGUGUGGUGCUGGCAGAUCUGGGUGUAGGAGUACUGGUCAGAGAAGGUUCCAUCGGGGCAUGAUGCACAUUCCACAUCCGACUCUGCUGUCCCUGAAACACACACCACAACACACAAACACGUUUACUCAUACUCUUACAGUGAACAGUUGCAUUCAAACUUCCAAUAUAAUAUUUGAGGAGGACAGAAACAUGUGGAAUCAGUUAGAAAUAGUGUCCUACCAGCCUCCUGUCCAGCUAUGGUACCUUCUACAGAGACCCCAUAACCAGGCUUGCAGUAUGUCAAAUUUGCACACUCCUCACAGUCCGGGUGUUGGUUCAGUACGCAGUACAUCCCAGUCUGGCACGCACACUGAGUCUUGGUGGUGCUGGAGCACUUCUGGACAUACUUCAGGCCUUUGUCUUCAUGCAUAAAGGAAUAAAAUGCUCAUUAAAGACUACACACCUAUCAAUGUAGCUGAGUCACUGGAGUAACAUAACCCACCCACCUGCUGAACACUUGGGACAUCUGAAGCAUUUUGCGAAGUAAUUAAAGGUCCCACUGUACUGGCCUCUAGGACAUGGUUCACACGCCGUGUCUGAGGUAGAGCUGCAUAGAUCUUUCCGGCGUGUCCCUGUAAUGACAUACAUGUAUAAUUUACAGUAAUCAUCUCAGUACAUGUACAUUUUACAGAACCUACAGAGUGCCGUAAAAGUAUUGUUAUGUUUGAAGUGGUCAUAUUUAGUGCUAUGAUUCUAAGGAUGUCCUCUCCUCUCAGUUUCAUUAGUGUUUAGGACUACACCUUACCAGAAGUACACUUGCUGCAGCAGAGGUUUACCUCUGCGUUAUAGUAUUCAGCUGUUUUGUUGUGGCAGGAUCCGUCAGAGUCUGGUGCGUAUGGCAGAGUGUACACCUGUAGGGACGAGGGGACCAUGAAGUGCACCUGAUCAGGAGAAGGAGUGAUGAGUAACAUGCCCCACCAAGAG